AACGAACGCUGGCGGCAUGCCUAACACAUGCAAGUCGAACGAGACCUUCGGGUCUAGUGGCGCACGGGUGCGUAACGCGUGGGAACCUGCCCUUAGGUUCGGAAUAACUCCCCGAAAGGGGUGCUAAUACCGGAUAAUGUCUUCGGACCAAAGAUUUAUCGCCUUUGGAUGGGCCUGCGUUGGAUUAGCUAGUUGGUAGGGUAAAAGCCUACCAAGGCGACGAUCCAUAGCUGGUCUGAGAGGAUGAGCAGCCACACUGGGACUGAGACACGGCCCAGACUCCUACGGGAGGCAGCAGUGGGGAAUAUUGGACAAUGGGGGAAAGCCUGAUCCAGCAAUGCCGCGUGAGUGAUGAAGGCCUUAGGGUUGUAAAGCUCUUUUACCCGGGAUGAUAAUGACAGUACCGGGAGAAUAAGCACCGGCUAACUCCGUG
rnacentral:rRNA from 1 species